rnacentral:rRNA from 1 species
CCUACGGGGGGCAGCAGUAGGGAAUCUUUCACAAUGGGCGAAAGCCUGAUGGAGCAACGCCGCGUGCAGGAUGAAGGCCUUCGGGUUGUAAACUGCUUUUAUAAGCGAGAAAUAUGAUGGUUACUUAUGAAUAAGGAUCGGCCAACUACGUGCCAGCAGCCGCGGUCAUACAUAGGAGCCGAGCAUUAUCCGGAGUGACUGGGUGUAAAGAGUUGCGUAGGUGGCAUAAUAAGUAGCUGGUGAAAUCUGGUGGGUCAACAAUUCAGACUAUUAGCUAAACUGUUAAGCGCGAGAGAGUUAGGGGUAACUGGAAUUUCUAGUGUAGGGGUGAAAUGCGUAGAUAUUAGGAGGAACACCAAUGGCGUAGGCAGGUUACUGGGACGGUUCUGACGCUGAGGCACGAAAGCGUAGGGAGCAAACGGGAUUAGAUACCCCGGUAGUC